rnacentral:rRNA from 1 species
UAGGCUGCAGCUCGCCUACAUGAAGUUGGAAUCGCUAGUAAUCGCGAAUCAGAAUGUCGCGGUGAAUACGUUCCCGGGUCUUGUACACACCGCCCGUCACACCACGAGAGUUUACAACACCCGAAGUCAGUGGCCUAACCGCAAGGAGGGAGCUGCCUAAGGUGGGGUAGAUGAUUGAGGUGAAGUCGUAACAAGGUACC